rnacentral:rRNA from 1 species
UGGGGGAUAUUGCACAAUGGGCGAAAGCCUGAUGCAGCGACGCCGCGUGGGGGAUGAAGGCUUUCGGGUUGUAAACCUCUUUCGCUAUCGAACAAGGCCCGCUUAGGGUGGGUUGAGGGUAGGUGGAGAAGAAGCGCCGGCUAACUACGUGCCAGCAGCCGCGGUAAUACGUAGGGCGCGAGCGUUGUCCGGAAUUAUUGGGCGUAAAGGGCUUGUAGGCGGCUUGUUGCGCCUGCUGUGAAAACGCGGGGCUUAACUUCGCGCGUGCAGGGGGUACGGGCAGGCUUGAGUGUGGUAGGGGUGACUGGAAUUCCAGGUGUAGCGGUGGGAUGCGCAGAUAUCUGGAGGAACGCCGAUGGCGAAGGCAGGUCACUGGGCCAUUACUGACGCUGAGGAGCGAAAGCAUGGGUAGCGAACAGG